CGUGUAGGCGUCCUGAUAAGUCAGAUGUGGAAGCCUUGGGCUUAACCCAAGAAGUGCAUUUGAAACUGUCAGGAUUGAGUCGUGCAAGGGAGGGCGGAAUUCCUGGUGUAGCGGUGAAAUGCGUAGAUAUCAGGAGGAAGGCCGGUGGUGAAGACGGCCCUCUAGGCAAUGACUGACGCUGAGGCGCGAAAGCGUGGGUAGCAAACAGGAUUAGAUACCCUGGUAGUCC
rnacentral:rRNA from 1 species